CCUACGGGUGGCAGCAGUGAGGAAUAUUGGUCAAUGGUCGCAAGCCUGAACCAGCCAAGUAGCGUGAAGGAUGACUGCCCUACGGGUUGUAAACUUCUUUUAUACAGGAAUAAAGUGAGUCACGUGUGCCGUUUUGUAUGUACUUUAUGAAUAAGGAUCGGCUAAGUCCGUGCCAGCAGCCGCGGUAAUACGGAGGUUCCGGGCGUUCUCCGGAUUUAUUGGGUUUAAAGGGAGCGUAGGUGGGUUGUUAAGUGAGUUGUGAAAGUCUGCGGCUCAACCGUAAAAUUGCAAUGGAUACUGGCAGCCUUGAGUACGGUUGAGGUAGGCGGAAUUCGUGGUGUAGCGGUGAAAUGCUUAGAUAUCACGAAGAACUCCGAUUGCGAAGGCAGCUUACUAAACUGCCACUGACAUUGAUGCUCGAAAGUGUGGGUAUCAAACAGGAUUAGAUACCCCUGUAGUC
rnacentral:rRNA from 1 species